UACGGAGGGUGCAAGCGUUGUUCGGAAUCACUGGGCGUAAAGGGCGCGUAGGCGGUUUGAUAAGUCAGAUGUGAAAGCCCACGGCUUAACUGUGGAAGUGCAUUUGAAACUGUCAGACUUGAGUACCAGAGGGGAAAGUGGAAUUCCCGGUGUAGAGGUGAAAUUCGUAGAUAUCGGGAGGAAUACCGGUGGCGAAGGCGACUUUCUGGCUGGAUACUGACGCUGAGGCGCGAAAGCGUGGGGAGCAAACAGG
rnacentral:rRNA from 1 species